rnacentral:rRNA from 1 species
UACGUAGGUGGCAAGCGUUGUCCGGAAUUAUUGGGCGUAAAGCGCGCGCAGGCGGUCCUUUAAGUCUGAUGUGAAAGCCCACGGCUCAACCGUGGAGGGUCAUUGGAAACUGGGGGACUUGAGUGCAGGAGAGAAGAGUGGAAUUCCACGUGUAGCGGUGAAAUGCGUAGAGAUGUGGAGGAACACCAGUGGCGAAGGCGACUCUUUGGCCUGCACCUGACGCUGACACGCGAAAGCUAGGGGAGCGAACGGG